GACGUAGGGCGCGAGCGUUGUCCGGAUUUAUUGGGCGUAAAGAGCUCGUAGGCGGCUUGUCGCGUCGACUGUGAAAACCCGCGGCUCAACUGUGGGCUUGCAGUCGAUACGGGCAUCACUGGAGUUCGGCAGGGGAGACUGGAAUUCCUGGUGUAGCGGUGUAAUGCGCAGAUAUCAGGAGGAACACCGGUGGCGAAGGCGGGUCUCUGGGCCGAUACUGACGCUGAGGAGCGAAAGCGUGGGGAGCGAACAGG
rnacentral:rRNA from 1 species